rnacentral:rRNA from 1 species
UAUGUUUAUUUUCGACUUAGUUUUGUUGGGGGGGUUGGGGGGUGCACAGUUCAAGGCGGUGCGUGAAAUGCCAAGACCAUACGUGGGAGUUUUCCGCAAGCGAAAGUGACAUCCCAAUUU